rnacentral:rRNA from 1 species
CAGGGGAUAUUGCACAAUGGGCGGAAGCCUGAUGCAGCAACGCCGCGUGAGUGAUGAAGGCCCUCGGGUCGUAAAACUCUUUUCAAGAGGAGGAGGAAGGACGGUACUCUUGGAAUAAGCCUCGGCUAACUACGUGCCAGCAGCCGCGGUAACACGUAGGAGGCGAGCGUUAUUCGGAUUUACUGGGCGUAAAGCGCGUGUAGGCGGCUGAUCAAGUUGGAUGUGAAAGCUCCCGGCUUAACUGGGAGAGGACGUUCAAAACUGAACAGCUUGAGUAUGAGAGAGGAAAAUGGAAUUCCGGGUGUAGUGGUGAAAUGCGUAGAUAUCCGGAGGAACACCAGUGGCGAAGGCGACUUUCUGGCUCAAGACUGACGCUCAGACGCGAAAGCUAGGGUAGCAAACGG